ensembl:snoRNA
AUGGCCCUGAAUCAAGGCCAGCAGCUUCCUGGCACUGUUGGUUUCAAGCAGGAGUCUAAAGAGAUGUCUUUCUGAGGUCUGGUCAGAACUUGGGCAGUGAAAUGGUCAAUUCUUUAGAAAUAAAGAGCU